AUAUUUACCUGGUGGCCAGGGCCUCGUUAAUCACGGAGGAAGAGCCCCAGGGCGAGGCGCGGACAUCGCACUGUGCUUGCGUUGACCCCUGCCACUACCCCAAACUGGGGCGAAUGGGACAUGCAAAUUGC
rnacentral:snRNA from 1 species